GCCUUCGUAGCUCAGUGGUAGAGCGGCUGCCUCGUAAGCAGCAGGUCGGGGGUUCAAAUCCCUCCGAAGGCU
rnacentral:tRNA from 1 species